GACGAACCGUGCGAACGUUGUUCGGAUUCACUGGGCUUAAAGGGCGCGUAGGCGGGCCGCCAAGUCAGGGGUGAAAUCCCGCAGCUCAACUGCGGAAGUGCCUUUGAUACUGGCGGCCUCGAGGGAGGUAGGGGCAUGCGGAACUUCCGGUGGAGCGGUGAAAUGCGUAGAUAUCGGAAGGAACGCCGGUGGCGAAAGCGGCGUGCUGGACCUCUUCUGACGCUGAGGCGCGAAAGCCAGGGGAGCAAACGGG
rnacentral:rRNA from 1 species